rnacentral:piRNA from 1 species
UUGUCAUGGAAAUGUAAGAGUGG